rnacentral:rRNA from 1 species
GACGUAGGUGGCGAACGUUAUCCGGAAUUAUUGGGCGUAAAGGGUGCGUAGGUGGCCUGACAAGUUAUCAGUGGCAAAUCGAGGCUCAACCUCGUGGAAACUGGUAAUACUGUUCGGCUUGAGUACAGGAGAGGUUAACGGAACUCUAUGUGGAGCGGUAAAAUGCACAGAUAUAUAGAAGAACAUCAAUAAAGGCGAAGGCAGUUAACUAUUCUGUUACUGACGCUGAGGCACGAAAGCGUGGGGAGCAAACAGG